UUUGAGUUAGGGGUGGAAACUUGUUUAAGAUCUGGGUUGGUUUGGGGAAAUAGAAGGAAUCUGGCCUGGGUUUUAGGAUUGUUCUACCUGGGAUCUUUGUUUCUGUCGUUCCAUUGGCUCCUUAACCAGAUUGUUCGAUUGAUAUCUAAUUUAUCAAUCCCAAUUGAGUAGCUGACGAAGAAGGGCUUGUGGAUUGUUGUUGAUUACACAGCUCAAGAAAUGGACAUCUGCUUCCUCUCAAAAUCCCGAAGAAAGAAAACCAGUUUUGUAAUUGCUGUUAAGUAUGGGAUUGUAGAUCCAAGUACAACAUCAAUUAUGGGAUAUGUUUGUUACAGAAACCCAGAGGAGAUCCCAUGGGAUCAAUUUGGUGCCGAUGUUGUUGUUGGAGUCUACUAGAGUGUUCACUGACAAGGAAAAAGACGCUGCGCACUUAAAGUGAGGCAGACAAUGGGAUUAAGAAACCAGAAUUUUCAAGGAAUCCUAGAUAUCAUGACAUCCUUAUGGAUGAAGUAUAUCCUGCAAAAGAAUCUUGGUCCAGAAUGUCAUUUGGAAAGGAAAAUGUCAAGGUACAUAUUCUUACGUACGUUAUCUUGGUCUAUAGGACCAACAGUGUGUCAAUUUCCACACUUCACAUUAGUUCUUUGUCCUUUGUAUGAAGAAUCAUUGUAUGAGUUACAUGUGUUCUAAAAUUGUAUGAGUUACAAGUGUUCUAAAAUUUAAACAUAGAUAUAGAAGACCAGCAGUGUCUAUUGUAAAGUUUAAGGACAAGGAUGUCACUGGGAAGAGAAUUCAAGGGGUAUGCUGUGUUUCAUAGUUUCAUAGAUUGUCUCAAUUUCAUAUCCAUGGUUUUUCUGUUCAAUUUCACAUCAAACCUACUUGCUUUAGGACUAUGCCACCUUGCGACCGUUGCUCUUCUGAUCUGCUACUUACCUUUUUUUAUUGUGUAGUGAACGUUCAAGUUUAUGGUUUGGAAUGAAAAGACCAGAAACCAUGAUUCCUUUUUUUGUUACUAUUGUAUGCAGUUCCAAU